ACCGUCCAGCCCUGUAGGGUGUAUAUGACCCUCGGCUUGUAACCGAGUGGGUUCGGGUUCGAAUCCCGAGUAAGGCA